CAGCUCUGCAGAGAAGACGCUGGGCCGCGCACCCGCUUGGUGGUCCCCAGGGACCGCGCCCACGUGGUCCGGCCCCACGAGCGGCCCGCCGACCGGAAGCGGGUGCUGAGGUCGCGUAGACGCCGCAGCCACGCGCGCCCUCCAGUCCGGACAUGGGCCCGCGGGCGCUGCUGGCCGCCGCCCGACUUCGAGUCCUGUGCGGGAUACAGCGCGCGGGAGCCCCAGGGUCCCUGCUCAAACACAGCCCCGCCGCGGGCCCCCGGCCGUGACGUAUCCCGCGCAGACCGUUCCCACGCCCACCCAGGACCGCCCUCGCGGGAGGCGGUGGCUGCACAUUACCCACCCAAAAGAAGUCCGUCCAUGUCAAAGAUGAGACUUUAUGAAGCUGGCAAAUGGCUUGGAGGAGAAUAGUUGAGUCCAUCCUGAAUGUAUAAGAGCUCACUGCUGUUUAUCUUGUGCGGCUGUGGAUGACGCAAUAGGAAGAGUAUCAACUGGAUUCUGGAGCUCCAGGUCUCUUCCUUCUGCAUGGCUAAGAGGAGAACCCUUCUACGGUGAGCGUUCGGCUGGGAUGCUUGUCCAAUGUGAUGGUGUGCAAAGCUGCUUGAGAUCCUUGAAGGAGACAUACAAAGUGUCUGAGUCUCCCAGUAAGGAACCCUCUCUGAAAGGCUUGUGAGAACUGGUGAGUUACAUUUUUUAAUAUACUUAUUGUUUUUGCUUCUCUGCCGCUAAGAUAUUGAGAUACAUGUUGACAGAAAAUGGCUACAGGGAAUAUUUACUUUAGUUGCACUGCUGCAAAGGAAGUCCAAAGGUUUCUGUUUCCUUCCACUCUUGAAAUACCUGAAGAGCAGCCUGGCAAAAGUUAAUUGAAUAUGUAAAAGAGCCAAGUGUUUGCUCUGGGAGGCAGAGUUUUAAAUUCUCUUAUGUGGGACGAAUCAAAGUUUGUACAUUUUUUUUAUCUGUAGUGUUACAUUAAAGAAAAUAUCUGUAAAACCACCUAUAACAAUUUAUCUAAUAUGUUUUCAUUUGCUCAUUUGCCCUGAAACAAGGCUGUCUAUAGGGAGAAGAAAGUAAUUGCCAAAUAGUUUGUCUUUGUGGAUUAGAGUGGUAGUUUGAAAACACAAGCUUGGUAUAAAGAAUAUUGGAGUUUCGAGGAGCGAAUCCUAAAAGGAAAUGAGCAUAUGAAAUGGUGCAUUUUGUGCUAUAGUUUACACAAAAGAGGAAUUAAAUCAAUUAACUUCAUGUGUGAAAAUAUUGGACCCACUGCUCCUGAGUUAGACACAAUGUCUGUACAGGAGAUGUCUUUGCCAUCCAUUGCAUUCCCUGUAAGAUUGGCAUAGUUUUAAGCUUUCAACUUACUGCUUUUCUAAAGGACAAAUUUCAGAGGGAAUUAACAGUUUUUUCACUUUUUUUCCAUUUUAAAUAUACAGAUUCAAUAUCUAUAAUGUUCACCUUAAAUAUGUAUCCUAAAGAGUAGAAAAAGAACAUAUAUACCUACUUUCUAGAGGGUCAUACACAUAGAUCUCUGAGUUUGUCCUCAGGACCAUGCACGGAGUCAAAUGUUUCUCUCUGUUUUUUUCUUUUUUUUAC